rnacentral:rRNA from 1 species
CUACGGGUUGCACCAGUGAGGAAUAUUGGACAAUGGAGGCAACUCUGAUCCAGCCAUGCCGCGUGCAGGAAGACGGCCCUACGGGUUGUAAACUGCUUUUAUACAGGAAGAAACGCCGCUACGUGUAGCGGUUUGACGGUACUGUACGAAUAAGGAUCGGCUAACUCCGUGCCAGCAGCCGCGGUAAUACGGAGGAUCCAAGCGUUAUCCGGAAUCAUUGGGUUUAAAGGGUCCGUAGGCGGUUUUUUAAGUCAGAGGUGAAAUCCUGCAGCUCAACUGUAGCAUUGCCUUUGAUACUGAAAGACUUGAGUUAUUGUGAAGUAGUUAGAAUGUGUAGUGUAGCGGUGAAAUGCAUAGAUAUUACACAGAAUACCGAUUGCGAAGGCAGAUUACUAACAAUAUACUGACGCUGAGGGACGAAAGCGUGAGUAGCGAACAGGAUUAGAUACCCUGGUAGUC